rnacentral:tRNA from 1 species
GCCGAUGUGGCUCAGGGGUAGAGCAGCUCUUUCGUAAAGAGCGGGUCGGGGGUUCGAAUCCCUCCAUCGGCCCCA